rnacentral:rRNA from 1 species
CCCUUAGAUGUUCUGGGCCGCACGCGCGCUACACUGACGAAUGCAACGAGCUUAUAACCUUGGCCGAAAGGUCUGGGUAAUCUCCAAAUUUCGUCGUGAUGGGGAUAGAUUAUUGCAAUUAUUAAUCUUCAACGAGGAAUGCCUAGUAAGCGCAAGUCAUCAGCUUGCGUUGAUUACGUCCCUGCCCUUUGUACACACCGCCCGUCGCUCCUACCGAUUGAAUGGUCCGGUGAAGCGCUCGGACCGCGGCCUCUUGUCGGUUUUCCGUCGAUUGGCUGUGGGAAGUUCGUUAAACCUUAUCAUUUAGAGGAAGGAGAAGUCGUAACA